rnacentral:misc_RNA from 1 species
UUCACCAUUCAGCUUUGUUAGACACCAUUUCUGCAUCCAUAUCCAAAUUCUAAACUUGAAAAGAAAAAAAAAUUAAAAUUUGCAAAACAGUAGAGUUAAUUAUGAAAUUUUCAAGACAGUUUCAUUAGUUAAAUAAAGUCUAUGCAUUAAAAACGCACGAUAUCAAGCAUGAUCCUAUAAUGAAAUUUAAUUGCCAUUGAAAUGGUCUAUAUUUAUUUGGUUCCAAACACAAUAUAAGGUGCCUUUUCUAGUUUAUUUAACUACCUCCAUUGUUUUCUCCAGCAUCCAAGUACACAUGAAAAGGAAGAUUACAACUUGACAUAGACACCAAUGCUACUAAAUUUGUUUUACCUUUACUGAAGUGCACCUUGAAACCAUUCUUGCAAUUCGCUGAACUAGUGAACAGCGUUUUCCAUAAAAUAUUUAUCAGAUUUCCGUAGUAACUUAUGCUUUCGCCCUUGUAACAUCUCUUAGUUGAUUAGAAGUUUUCAAAACUUUUAGCAGCUCCGACCGAUGUAAAGC